UCAUCGGACCGCGAUCGGCGCGUAAUGCGCAUGUCAGCUGGAUUAGCAAUUUACCGGGCGAUGGGAAACUGUGUGAGAUAUGGCUGCAGUUUCAUCCAUCAAUUUUACUGGGAUUUUUUUCCGAAGAGCGGGACUUUUCGGGUGGAAGGAAGGACCUUGAUUGUACGGGGGGCUUUGAAGUAGACCUGGGCUGAUGCCAGAAUAAAGAAAUAUAAAUAAGAGUGACUGAAGCUGGUUUCUGCUGGAUGGAAGCCAAUUGAACUGGUUUGAUUUCCCCCUCCAAGGAAAGUGAUCUAUCAAGUUGAGGCAUCCUCUGCUAGCUAGACUUCAUUUCGGAUAUUUUUUAAGAGAAGAAAAACGAAGGAAAAUCGACUUGACAGUUGAUCUGUUCGCAUCACCCACCCAUGACAAG